GCUCAGGUGGUGGAAUUGGUAGACACGCACGCUUGAGGGGCGUGUGGCGCAAGCCGUGCGGGUUCGAGUCCCGCUUUGAGCA
rnacentral:tRNA from 1 species